rnacentral:rRNA from 1 species
GUAGGUGGCAAGCGUUGUCCGGAAUUAUUGGGCGUAAAGCGCGCGCAGGUGGGUUCUUUAAGUCUGAUGUGAAAGCCCCCGGGCUCAACCGGGGAGGGUCAUUGGAAACUGGGGAACUUGAGUGCAGGAGAGGAAAGUGGAAUUCCACGUGUAGCGGUGAAAUGCGUAGAUAUGUGGAGGAACACCAGUGGCGAGGGCGACUUUCUGGCCUGUAACUGACACUGAGGCGCGAAAGCGUGGGGAGCAAACAGGAUUAGAUACCCUGGUAGUCCACGCCGUAAACGAUGAGUGCUAAGUGUUGGGGGGUUUCCGCCCCUCAGUGCUGCAGCUAACGCAUUAAGCACUCCGCCUGGGGAGUACGGUCGCAAGACUG